GUAACAGGCAGUUGUAGACCCGGUUCAAAAUAAUAUCGAGAUAGCAGACUUUUAAGAGACACUUGAAUCACCCAUGGGUGUUUUUCAUCAAGGCUGAAUGCGCUGAACAGAAAAACAGAAAAUAAAAUCUAUUCUAGUUGGUCACCUAAGCGAACCAAUAAAUAAACAAUUGAAACAGACCAAUGCAGAAGGAACCAACACUAUCGCACCAUUCACCUGCAAUUUUAGACCACUGACAAGCAAUGGUUAGCAAGUACAUGACUCACAGGUGCUCGAAUAGUGUUGGCAUCUGGUCUAGCCUAUCCCAACAACAAAAGUGAACAAAUAACAGAAAACAGAGACAAAUUAGAAAGAAAGUAAUAUAUGAGGGUAAUAUUUAUUGUACAUGUUCAGAAUUGUUGUAUAAUAUAUACUCUAAGCGUCGAAAUGCACGCCAUCGUGUAGGGAUUCAAUAUUUCAACAUUAAUUGUCAUCAUCAGAAAUUCCUGAUGAUGACAUAAUAAUGUCAAAAUAUUGAAUCCCUACAAGACGGCGUGCAUUUCAAUACUUGGGAUUAUGUAUUAUACUAUCUUUAUCUUUCGGUUGUUGUGUGCUGUAGAUUUGUGCUGUAAAUGUUCUUUACUACAAAAUAAUUACCAAAUUACGAAAUGCAAUUUCUUAUUGUUCAUGAUGCUAUUAUAAUUACAGUUAAACUUGCCUAAGUCGACUUUGCCUAACUCAAAUAAUUUCUUAAGUCAGUCAUCUUUUUUAUGCAAAAUUGUUGUGUUUUCCAUUAGUUAACAAUCUGUAAGUCGAGUUUAUCAUAGCCGAACAAAUUUUUCAAUGGCAUUUUGGAUUUGACUUAGGCAAGUUCAUGUGUAUAUAAAAUGUGCAAAUUGAAAGUGCUAUUAAGUGCUAACUAGUAUAAAACAAAUUCCAAAUAAGGUCAGACAAAGCAUUCUAAUUUAAUAUUUGGUCUUUGAUUAUUCUUUACCUGAUUUACAAAUUGCAAAUUGCUACACUGUUCAUGUUCUAAAUGGUACUCAGACUUUAUGAGGUAUUCUUACAACGAAAGAUAAUUUUUGCCUGUUUCCGUGCACUCAGAUAUAUGCUAUGUAAAUUUCUUGGUUAUGUGAGGCUUUCCAUCCCAAAACAGCGUACUGCCGCUAAUUGUUAAUUUGUAUAAGAAUGUUAUAUAUUUAAUGCUUGUGGUACACCACAUAGAUAGUUCUGAAAACCAAACUACAGUAACUGAGACUGUGUGAAAUGGCUAAUACAAAAGCCAGUAAGAAUAUAUUAAAAAAUCAGUUUUCUUUUCAAUGACAAGCCUCAUAUUAGGAAUACUAGUGUGCCAUAGCAUAAUAUGUGGUUUCAAAGACAUAUCUCAGCAGUAUGAGCCUAAAUUAAUCCAUCCAGUAGAUGUUCUUGUUAACUGGGUGCCACAAGGAAUUUUGUCCUCAUUGUCUGUCUGUCUUCAUUGUCUGUCUGUCCUCAUUGUCUGUCCAGGUUGUUAACUUGUAGAACACAUUGUUCUUUUUCUGUGCUGUAUCAUGUAUAAAGAAUGAUUUUUUAAAGUUAUAUGAUUGUCACUUAGGUGCUGCACUGAUUUAAUUGAAAUGAUUACAAGAAUACUUGUAGUGGCACCCUCAGUUAUAUCUUUUAAAGCUUGGUUUUUAUAAAAUUUCUACAUACUGAUGCUGGAGUGGUUGGUGAUGCCAAUUGGUCGUUCAAAUCAAGGGCCUUCACAAAUGUGAUGAGAUGUCUACACAGUGUAAUGAUUACAUUGAAUACACUGUGACAGCAAAUACAUUUUUUAAAACCAGGCUCCACAUGAGUAUAUUCAUAGGUGAAAUAAUGUGAUUUUUUUCAUUUAAAAUUUAAUGUGUUUUUGAAAGCCCCACGAACAAAGACAUUAAAGGUGGCUAAAUAAAUAUUUCUGGAUAGAAAUCCUACCAGUAUUACUGUUAUUUUCUCUCUGUAAUUGUCUACAGAUUUUUUGUGAGAUUAAGACUUAAAUGUGGUGCAUUCAUGGAUAAUAGUUAAAAUAUAUGUAUGACCAGUCAUCAUUUCUGUAUUACCACUAUGAAAGGUGCAUAAGACUAAUGCCAUGUGUUGAACCGUUAAACAGAUCUAAUAAACUUGUACAGUAAAAUACAA